rnacentral:rRNA from 1 species
CGCGUAGGCGGGUCUGUAAGUCGGAUGUGAAAGCCCUCGGCUCAACUGAGGAAGUGCAUUCGAAACUGCAAGCCUAGAGUGCGGGAGAGGAGAGUGGAAUUCCCGGUGUAGAGGUGAAAUUCGUAGAUAUCGGGAGGAACACCAGCGGCGAAGGCGGCUCUCUGGACCGACGCUGACGCUGAGGCGCGAAAGCGUGGGGAGCAAACAGGAUUAGAUACCCUGGUAGUCC